CGCCAGCCUUUUUUUUGCCCCUGCCUCCCUCACAAAGAAAAGUCUUGUCUUUCUUGUCCUUUGCGUUCAAAGUGUUUAUAUGAAUUUACAGAAGCUCUUUAUAUAUUACAAGUAUUGUAUUUUAUUAACCUUUACAUAUUAUUAUUGCUAACCUACAUUGAAAAUAUUUAUAUCAGUUUAUCUUUAACAUGGUUAGAUUACAAUAAUAUUCUAGUAAUGUAGGAGUUGUAUAUUUAAGUUAAGAACCUUCCCCUAUCUGGAAUUUGUUCUUGUGAAUGUUGUGUGUUAAGUGUUAUGCUAUAUGUUGGCAAAUUGAACUCCAAUAAAAAAAAUAAAAUCAGAUCCAAAAGCUAAAAAAAGUGGAAUUUCUUUAAAAUUCCUCAGGAUGCCUAGGUGUCUCAGUUAGUUAAGCAUCUGACUCCUGGACUCAGCUCAGGUCAUGAUCUCAAGGUUGUGAGAUUGAGUCCUGCAUUGGACUCCAUGCUCCACAAGGAGUCUAUUUCAGAUUUUCUCUCCCCCUCCCUCCCUCUUCUUCUCCCCCAGCUUGUGCUUGUUCUAUCUCAUAAAUAAAUAAGUAAGUAAAAUCUUUAAAAUUCCCCAAAGAGUUGGGUGUGGAAGCUAAAAGCUAAGAGAAGAGAUAGACCAAGAGACCCAUCUUUCUUGGAUGCGUGAGUGGGAGAAGCUUGUUUGCUGAAAGCAUAGAGGAUUAUGCCCUUUGCCAGCUUAUAAUUCCAUCUGCUUCCUGCUGAGAAUGACUCUCAAACUCUGUGUCUUUAGAGCCAGUCUUUCCUGUGUGAUGUUAGUCCAGGCUUCAGAAGUUUGGAUAUGUUCAUUUUGUUGCAUGUGGGGGCAAGCUGAAGAAUCACUGUAGACCAUGAGGACUGUGUUUCAGAGGCGGCCUGGACUCUCCUGUCCCCAAUGUCCAGCCCUGCCCUGGCAGGAUGGGUUGUCUCGAGAUUUCAAGUGUCUCUAUUCCAGAUCACAAUGAGUGGUGACAGUGCCUACCAGUUGGGUGAGCUACAAACUCCUGUCCCCAGGCAUCACAGGCAGCAGAGAGACGAUUGUCAUUGGAUUGGCCUGACCUCUUGCCUCUUGUACCAAGACCUAGGGAACUUGACUGGGUCUCACGAAGACCAACCACUCAACUCCUCACGUUAAUGAACUGUGAUGACAUUGUUCCUUUAGUUCUUUAGAAUAGUAUCUUUGAUAACCAUCUCUUCAAGCUUUAAUGGUGAUAUUGAAAGUUAAUUACAAACGCUUAGCUCUCUACAGACUCAUUGUUAAUGAUAAAUAUUUUUUAUACCUAAAUAGAACCUUACUUUUUGAUUGAUGAUGUCAGGGUGAUGUUUCUUAGAUUUUUUUAGGUAUUGACUGCACCUCACACAUGUCAUUAGAUCACACGCAAAUGAUGUUUAAAUGUUUAUGGCCUAGAAGCUGACAGACAAGUUGACACAGGAAGCCAAAAUAUUUGAGUUAGAUACCUUGUAGCUGCUUUAAAUGGAAUUAUCUCCUACUGCCUGUUUAAAGCAACUGAACAUGAUUAUUUUUCCGUUUUCUUCUCUAGAUCCUCAAUGGUGUUCCACAAGACUGUCAAUGAGGUCAAUGAGGCUUAGUUUCAGGAAAUGCCAGUCACGAUUCAUCCAGUGAUGGGGCAAUCCUGUUAAGCAUAAACCAAAAAAAAAAAAAAAAUCUAGUUCAGGAAAUAGAUGUUUUGGUCUAGAGGCUGGCAACUGGGUGGCUACAGAGCUGAGCUGUUAGGAUGUCGGCUCAGGGACGGAACACGGCCCAGACAGAGGCCUUGUUCAGAGCUGCUCACCUGAGUGGUUGCUCAUUGGUACAGGGAGUCAGAAACAAGAAGCCUAAGACCUAUAUAGUUCUUGCCCUCUGAGGUGGUAGUGUGAAAGGAAAUGUUACUGACCACAGCACUGUACACCUCUGGGGGAGACGCAUCUUUGUUGUUAGAGAGGCAUGGAAGAUGGCGUUGAUGCUGGCCUCCAAAGGCUCACCUGGCGUGCAUGUGGGUGGUGAGCACCAAGGUAACAUGAACAUUACCUAGUCCUCCAUGCUGUUGGCCAGCAUCAGUUGGCUUGGGUUUCUUACCAGGCUCAGAAUCACUGGAUAAUGAGAAGGCAAUUUCUGCAGAAAUCCCACUCAAUUG
rnacentral:lncRNA from 1 species